rnacentral:rRNA from 1 species
GCCUACGGGACGCAGCAGUGGGGAAUAUUGCACAAUGGGGGGAACCCUGAUGCAGCGACGCCGCGUGGGUGAAGGAGUACUUCGGUACGUAAAGCCCUAUCAGCAGGAAAGAAAAUGACGGUACCUGACUAAGAAGCCCCGGCUAACUACGUGCCAGCAGCCGCGGUAAUACGUAGGGGGCAAGCGUUAUCCGGAUUUACUGGGUGUAAAGGGAGCGUAGACGGCUGUGCAAGUCCGGAGUGAAAGCCCGGGGCUCAACCCUGGGACUGCUCUGGAAACUGUAAAGCUGGAGUGCGGGAGGGGCA